rnacentral:rRNA from 1 species
CCCAGACUCCUACGGGAGGCAGCAGUGGGGGAUAUUGCACAAUGGGGGGAACCCUGAUGCAGCGACGCCGCGUGUGUGAAGGAGCGUUUCGGCGCGUAAAGCCCUAUCGGCAGGGAAGAAGGAGGACGGUACCUGACUAAGAAGCCCCGGCUAACUACGUGCCAGCAGCCGCGGUAAUACGUAGGGGGCAAGCGUUAUCCGGAUUUACUGGGUGUAAAGGGGGCGCAGACGGCAGCGCAAGCCAGGAGUGAAAGCCCGGGGCCCAACCCCGGGACUGCUCUUGGAACUGCGCGGCUGGAGUGCAGGAGGGGCAGGCGGAAUUCCUGGUGUAGCGGUGAAAUGCGUAGAUAUCGGGAGGAACACCAGUGGCGAAGGCGGUUUACUGGACCACAACUGACGCUGAGACACGAAAGCGUGGGGAGCAAACAGGAUUAGAUACCCCCGUA